rnacentral:rRNA from 1 species
CCUACGGGAGGCAGCAGUGAGGAAUAUUGGUCAAUGGGCGAGAGCCUGAACCAGCCAAGUCGCGUGAGGGAGUACUGCCCUAUGGGUUGUAAACCUCUUUUGCCGGGGAGCAAAAGCCGGGCGUUUCCGGCUGUGAGAGUGCCCGCAGAAAAAGCACCGGCUCACUCCGUGCGAGCAGCCGCGGUAAUACGGAGGAUGCGAGCGUUAUCCGGAUUUAUUGGGCUUAAAGGGUGCGCAGGCGGACUUUUAAGUCAGCGGUAAAAUCGUGGGGCUCAACCCCAUCCAGCCGUUGAAACUGGGGAUCUAGAGUGUGCGAGAGGUAUGCGGAAUGCGUGGUGUAGCGGUGAAAUGCAUAGAUAUCACGCAGAACCCCGAUUGCGAAGGCAGCAUACCGGUGCACAACUGACGCUCAGGCACGAAAGCGUGGGUAUCGAACAGGAUUAGAUACCCGGGUAGUC